UCUGUUUGAGCCUGAAUCAGAGGAAGGAUCUGAUGCAGAGGAGCAACCUGCCAGGAGAUUGGAAAUGACUCUUCAGACUGGUGUACUUGUGGAAACUGUGCACAACUGCCCCGGGAGAGAGAAAAUAUGUUGCCAAUAAACACCUCAGGUCAUGAAAAGAAUGACCCAGGUUCCUGAUGAGAUAACCUGUGUGACUCACCAUCCUGGCCUUCAUCGGGUGGGCCUCAAUAAAUAUUCUUUGCUAAAUGCAAUGAAUAUUUACAGAGUUGACCAUGGCCAGUUGAGACUCAGAGGGAUGGAAAUGUGAGGCCAAUGCGAUACCACUGUUAGCAGUUC